UACGGAGGGAGCUAGCGUUGUUCGGAAUUACUGGGCGUAAAGGGCGCGUAGGUGGCCUGUUAAGUCGAACGUGAAAUCCCCGGGCUCAACCCGGGAACUGCGUCCGAGACUGGCAGGCUCGAAUCCGGGAGAGGGAUGUGGAAUUCCAGGUGUAGCGGUGAAAUGCGUAGAUAUCUGGAGGAACACCGGUGGCGAAGGCGGCAUCCUGGACCGGUAUUGACGCUGAGGCGCGAAAGCCAGGGGAGCAAACGGG
rnacentral:rRNA from 1 species